rnacentral:tRNA from 1 species
GCCCCCGUAGCUCAACUGGUAGAGCAGGAUCCUUUUAAGAUCAAGGUUUCCCGUUCGAGUCGGGACGGGGGCA